UUAGACUUCAAAGGGGGAGGAGUACGCUAAACCAACUGAAACUUAUAUAUUAAAUAGUCAAAAAAUACAAGUUGUCAGUCCAAUAAUACAAUUAGAUAUAAAGUGACUACACUGUAGAGACUUAAAAAAUAGAAAAGUAACAUGUCAGUGAAUGUAAAAGGUUGUUAGUUGCAAGAUAAGGGCGCGAGUGUGAGUAUUGAUCGAGCGAGUGUGGUGGAGCCCGGUCCGUAUGCCAUGGUGGAGGCGUGAGUGAUUUUCAACGCCCGUACGCCCACACAACGCCCACGCCGCCAUGGAGGUGGUUGGGGAGUACGAAUACAGCACCAAGGACCUCAUAGGUCACGGUGCUUUCGCCGUGGUGUUCAAAGGGCGGCACAAACAGAAACCCGGCCUAACAGUUGCCAUAAAAAGCAUCACGAAAAAGAACAUCGCGAAGAGCCAGAAUCUCUUGGGGAAAGAAA